rnacentral:rRNA from 1 species
GAUGAACGCUGGCGGCGUGCCUAAUACAUGCAAGUCGAGCGAACAGACGAGGAGCUUGCUCCUCUGACGUUAGCGGCGGACGGGUGAGUAACACGUGGAUAACCUACCUAUAAGACUGGGAUAACCUCGGGAAACCGGAGCUAAUACCGGAUAAUAUAUUGAACCGCAUGGUUCAAUAGUGAAAGACGGUUUUGCUGUCACUUAUAGAUGGAUCCGCGCCGCAUUAGCUAGUUGGUAAGGUAACGGCUUACCAAGGCAACGAUGCGUAGCCGACCUGAGAGGGUGAUCGGCCACACUGGAACUGAGACACGGUCCAGACUCCUACGGGAGGCAGCAGUAGGGAAUCUUCCGCAAUGGGCGAAAGCCUGACGGAGCAACGCCGCGUGAGUGAUGAAGGUCUUCGGAUCGUAAAACUCUGUUAUUAGGGAAGAACAAAUGUGUAAGUAACUAUGCACGUCUUGACGGUACCUAAUCAGAAAGCCACGGCUAACUACGUG